AGAGUUUGAUCCUGGCUCAGGAUGAACGCUGGCGGCGUGCUUAACACAUGCAAGUCGAACGAAGCACCUUAUUCUGAUUUCUUCGGAAUGAAAAAUUUGGUGACUGAGUGGCGGACGGGUGAGUAACGCGUGGGUAACCUGCCUCAUACAGGGGGAUAACAGUUAGAAAUGACUGCUAAUACCGCAUAAGACCACAGCACCGCAUGGUGCAGGGGUAAAAACUCCGGUGGUAUGAGAUGGACCCGCGUCUGAUUAGGUAGUUGGUGGGGUAACGGCCUACCAAGCCGACGAUCAGUAGCCGACCUGAGAGGGUGACCGGCCACAUUGGGACUGAGACACGGCCCAAACUCCUACGGGAGGCAGCAGUGGGGAAUAUUGCACAAUGGGGGAAACCCUGAUGCAGCGACGCCGCGUGAGCGAUGAAGUAUUUCGGUAUGUAAAGCUCUAUCAGCAGGGAAGAAAAUGACGGUACCUGACUAAGAAGCACCGGCUAAAUACGUGCCAGCAGCCGCGGUAAUACGUAUGGUGCAAGCGUUAUCCGGAUUUACUGGGUGUAAAGGGAGCGUAGACGGAGUGGCAAGUCUGAUGUGAAAACCCGGGGCUCAACCCCGGGACUGCAUUGGAAACUGUCAAUCUGGAGUACCGGAGAGGUAAGCGGAAUUCCUAGUGUAGCGGUGAAAUGCGUAGAUAUUAGGAGGAACACCAGUGGCGAAGGCGGCUUACUGGACGGUAACUGACGUUGAGGCUCGAAAGCGUGGGGAGCAAACAGGAUUAGAUACCCUGGUAGUCCACGCCGUAAACGAUGACUAUUAGGUGUCGGGCAGCAAAGCUGUUCGGUGCCGCAGCAAACGC
rnacentral:rRNA from 1 species